UCUAAAGUUUUGUUUUAUCCUUUGGCCAAGGGGGAGUUUGUAGCUGAAUUUUUUAAACGAAUAAUUUAUCUUCCUUAAAAAGUUUUCAACAAGAAUCUCUAGAGCGUACGCGCGAAUCGAGGGAAGCGUGCACAGAUUGGGAGUAAUCAAAAAAUAAGAGCGCGAAUUUUAUAGGUUAGAUUUUUCGAAGUCACUGAAAAUAAUCUUUUGUGUAAUUCUGAGCUUCCCUCUUAAUCGAUUAACGUUAUUUCUCGUAAAACAAAAGUUUAAAAGUUCUAAUUCAAACGCAACGAGUACAAUUCUCACCAAAAUCGCGCCGAUAUUCUGAUAUUCUGCCAAAGCGGGACUAAUAGUUCCGAUCUGCGUAACGAAAAACUUUUUAAGCGGAUGUUAAUUCGAUCCAAACUCCCGAACGUGGUCGUAUAAAAGAAGCUAAUACUACCAACCCCGUAAUUUUUUCGCCUCGAGUCUCUCCGUACCAAUUCCUUCUGGUGCCAAGAGAUAUACAAGAAGAUGGCGUAAGUGCCAGCGACCUCGGUCGUGAUGAAGCCACUCACGUACAGCAAAAAUGAGAAUCCGUACCUGUAGGUGAAGGGUGGCCCCUGAAAUCGCAAGAUUGCGACCAAGAUAUUCAUUCACACGGGCCGUGUAACAGAUGAGAAGUAAUUUUAGGAUACCGAAAGAAAUAUGAAACCGAGAAUUUCAUCAGCCUAUGUAAUAUUCACAUAGAAUUAGACGACACGCGAAUUAAAAUUCAUCUACUGGAAAAUGAUCAUGAAAGGCAGAGCGAGCAAAGUAUCCUGGUGCAAUAUAAGCUUGGUAUACUUUAUUACUCACCGGAAACUAUGAAGACCACGCCAGCGACAAAGACGCAAAGUCUGUGUCUCGGGUGAGUAACGUGAGCUGUGAAGUAACAAACUUCGGCUACCACCAGCAGCGAUGUUGCAGCGAAGAAGAACAUUGCCGACUUGGAGACAUAACGGAUAUUAAAGUUACUCACUUAUGGCGACACAGACCCUCCACAGGCCACUGUAAGUAACUUUGCUGUCCGGUUCGACAGAGGCGUUCGACGAAGUUUUCGGCAGUUUCUCCUCCGUAAGGAGCCACUCUCC